AUUGACCGAUGGCGGCAGGCCUAACACAUGCAAGUCGAACGCGUGGCGGACGGGUGAGUAAUGUCUGGGAAACUGCCUGAUGGAGGGGGAUAACUACUGGAAACGGUAGCUAAUACCACAUACAAUCAGAUGUGCCCAGAUGGGAUUAGCUUGUUGGUUGGGUAAAGGCUCACCAAGGCGACGAUCCCUAGCUGGUCUGAGAGGAUGACCAGCCACACUGGAACUGAGACACGGUCCAGACUCCGAAGGGAGGCAUCAGGGGGGAAUAGUGCACAAUGGGCGCAAGCCUGAUGCAGCCAUUCCGCGUGUAUGAAGAAGGCCUUCGGGUUGUAAAGUACUUUCAGCGGGGAGGCGUUACCCGCAGAAUAAGCACCGGCAAACUCCGUGCCAGCAGCCGCGGUAAUAC
rnacentral:rRNA from 1 species